AUAUUAAAUGCAGAAGAAAAGUUUUAUAAGGUAUAUACAAGAUAUUUACAAAUUUGAGGUAUGAAGGGUAAAUACUGUAGUGUUCACAAUAUUAAGAUAAAGAGAUAUACUAGUUAGAUUUUUAUGUGGUAUUAUUUGCACAAUGACAAUGCAUGGAUAUUGUUUGCAUAAAGAAAGUGUGAUUUCUGAACCUAUGUAUUUG